GACUCCUACGGGAGGCAGCAGUAGGGAAUCUUCCGCAAUGGACGAAAGUCUGACGGAGCAACGCCGCGUGAGUGAUGAAGGUUUUCGGAUCGUAAAGCUCUGUUGUUAGGGAAGAACAAGUGCAAGAGUAACUGCUUGCACCUUGACGGUACCUAACCAGAAAGCCACGGCUAACUACGUGCCAGCAGCCGCGGUAAUACGUAGGUGGCAAGCGUUGUCCGGAAUUAUUGGGCGUAAAGGGCUCGCAGGCGGUUUCUUAAGUCUGAUGUGAAAGCCCCCGGCUCAACCGGGGAGGGUCAUUGGAAACUGGGAAACUUGAGUGCAGAAGAGGAGAGUGGAAUUCCACGUGUAGCGGUGAAAUGCGUAGAGAUGUGGAGGAACACCAGUGGCGAAGGCGACUCUCUGGUCUGUAACUGACGCUGAGGAGCGAAAGCGUGGGGAGCGAACAGGAUUAGAUACCCUGGUAGUCCACGCCGUAAACGAUGAGUGCUAAGUGUUAGGGGGUUUCCGCCCCUUAGUGCUGCAGCUAACGCAUUAAGCACUCCGCCUGGGNGNANGUANCNGGUCGCAAGACUGAAACUCAAAGGAAUUGACGGGGGCCCGCACAAGCGGUGGAGCAUGUGGUUUAAUUCGAAGCAACGCGAAGAACCUUACCAGGUCUUGACAUCCUCUGACAACCCUAGAGAUAGGGCUUUCCCUUCGGGGACAGAGUGACAGGUGGUGCAUGGUUGUCGUCAGCUCGUGUCGUGAGAUGUUGGGUUAAGUCCCGCAACGAGCGCAACCCUUGAUCUUAGUUGCCAGCAUUUAGUUGGGCACUCUAAGGUGACUGCCGGUGACAAACCGGAGGAAGGUGGGGAUGACGUCAAAUCAUCAUGCCCCUUAUGACCUGGGCUACACACGUGCUACAAUGGACAGAACAAAGGGCUGCGAGACCGCAAGGUUUAGCCAAUCCCACAAAUCUGUUCUCAGUUCGGAUCGCAGUCUGCAACUCGACUGCGUGAAGCUGGAAUCGCUAGUAAUCGCGGAUCAGCAUGCCGCGGUGAAUACGUU
rnacentral:rRNA from 1 species